rnacentral:rRNA from 1 species
UGCCCAAGAGAUCUGUAUAACACCUGGAAACAGAUGCUAAUACCGGAUAACAACAGAUGAUGCCUAUCAACUGUUUAAAAGAUGGUUCUGCUAUCACUCUUGGAUGGACCUGCGGUGCAUUAGCUAGUUGGUAGGGUAACGGCCUACCAAGGCGAUGAUGCAUAGCCGAGUUGAGAGACUGAUCGGCCACAUUGGGACUGAGACACGGCCCAAACUCCUACGGGAGGCAGCAGUA